rfam:Hordeum vulgare subsp. vulgare, WGS project CAJW01000000 data, contig: morex_contig_2658082
CUCUUACUCCCUCCGUCCCAAAAUUGUUGUCUCAAAUUUAUCUAGAAAUGGAUGUAUCUAAAUACUAAGACAUGACUAGAUACAUUCAUAUCUAAAAAAAGUUAAUACAAUAAUUUUCGGAUGGAGGGAGUAUUUU